rnacentral:rRNA from 1 species
GACGAACGCUGGCGGCGUGCUUAACACAUGCAAGUCGAACGGGCCUUGUCCCCUUUUUUUUGGGGGUGGGGUUAGUGGCGAACGGGUGAGUAACACGUGAGUAACCUGCCCCUCACUUCUGGAUAACCGCUUGAAAGGGUGGCUAAUACGGGGUGUUCUGGCCUGCUCGCAUGGGUGGGUUUGGAAAGAUUCGACCGGUUUUGGUUGUUUUGGUGGGGGAUGGGCUCGCGGCCUAUCAGCUUGUUGGUGGGGUGAUGGCCUGCCAAGGCUUUGACGGGUAGCCGGCCUGAGAGGGUGGGCGGUCACACUGGGACUGAGACACGGCCCAGACUCCUACGGGAGGCAGCAGUGGGGAAUAUUGCACAAUGGGCGCAAGCCUGAUGCAGCGACGCCGCGUGAGGGAUGGAGGCCUUCGGGUUGUGAACCUCUUUCGCCAGUGAAGAAGGUCCUGCUCUUUGUGGUGGGGUUGACGGUAGCCGGGUUAAUGAAGCGCCGGCUAACUACGUG